GACGAACGCUGGCGGCGUGCUUAACACAUGCAAGUCGAACGGAAAGGCCCUGCUUGCAAGGUACUCGAGUGGCGAACGGGUGAGUAACACGUGGGUGAUCUGCCCUGCACUUCGGGAUAAGCCUGGGAAACUGGGUCUAAUACCGGAUAUGACCUUCCAUGUAGUGUGGGGGGUGGAAAGAUUUAUCGGUGUGGGAUGAGCCCGCGGCCUAUCAGCUUGUUGGUGGGGUAAUGGCCUACCAAGGCGUCGACGGGUAGCCGGCCUGAGAGGGUGGACGGCCACAUUGGGACUGAGAUACGGCCCAGACUCCUACGGGAGGCAGCAGUGGGGAAUAUUGCACAAUGGGCGGAAGCCUGAUGCAGCGACGCCGCGUGGGGGAUGACGGCCUUCGGGUUGUAAACCUCUUUCGACAGGGACGAAGCUUCGGUGACGGUACCUGUAUAAGAAGCACCGGCUAACUACGUG
rnacentral:rRNA from 1 species